rnacentral:rRNA from 1 species
UGUCCUACGGGGGGCAGCAGUGGGGAAUAUUGGGCAAUGGGCGCAAGCCUGACCCAGCAACGCCGCGUGAAGGAAGAAGGCUUUCGGGUUGUAAACUUCUUUUGACAGGGAAGAGUAGAAGACGGUACCUGUCGAAUAAGCCACGGCUAACUACGUGCCAGCAGCCGCGGUAAUACGUAGGGGGCGAGCGUUAUCCGGAUUUACUGGGUGUAAAGGGAGCGUAGACGGUUCUGCAAGUCUGAAGUGAAAGCCCGUGGCUUAACCGCGGAACGGCUUUGGAAACUGUGGAACUGGAGUGCUGGAGA